ensembl:lncRNA
CGACACGGACACGAUGCAGCUCAGUGUCGGCCAUAGUUGUAAUGAACGACCGUACGCCACACGCUCCGUUCAUAGGCAAAACGAGGCAUUAGCAAUCGCUCACAGAUCGUCCCUGAAUGAGGCAUUAGCAAUCAAUCUGAUUGCACUGAUACCUAAACUUAAACCACCGAACAAUGAAUCACUGAUCUACAGACCAUUAGUGCCUUUUAACUUUUACCUUUUUAUGAACAUUUUAAGUAUAUUUUACCUUAUAUUAACCCAUUCAAUGCAACAAUAAUACAUCAUUCUUAUCAUCCUUACACACACACCACUUGACAACUGUAAUCUGGCCACGACGGAUAAAUGCUGCCAUCUGGAGAAUGUCACGAGAAGGAGGAACAAAGGCAUUUUUUAAUCACAUUUUUCAAAGUGCUGUUUAUAUGUCAAUUCGUAUGAAAUGUAUAAAAGCUAGUCGCAUGGGAUGAUUGAACUGAUUUUCCUGCUUAUCUUUCAAUCCAAAUGAUGUUGAUUGGAAGAGUGUUACACAUAUUGCACUAAGAAUAGUUUAAAUAUACGGCAUUCAAGUAUUCAUCAAUAAAAACAAUUGAUGUCAAUAUGCAUUAAACAAAAAACAACUUCCUCAUGCUGCUGUAUGAGUGCCCCAACACACACUGUCUCCAACUCUUACAUGGAGAGAACACAAUCGUCUGUCUUCAUUUCUAGAACGUUUCCCCACUCGAGUGAGUAGAACUUGAGCAUUAUCUCAAUAACGACGUCCACAUGGUUUCUUGUGGAGCACAACGUCAACAGACUCUAUUACUGGUGAUGUAACUGAUCCGGAGUCAGAUUCACUACUUUACGCAGCUGUUAUUGUCUUUGAUUGUUACACAGGGGCUGAGGCUACCUGUGCCCAAGUCUUUGUGCGUAUUAUUUGAUUAUUUUGUUUGCAAAGUAUUUUGAUACUUACAAACAGGGACUGUUUUCCAGUUAGCAGGGACCAGGACUACACUACUAAUCACCAAAGUUUUAUAAUCUGCAUUAUGCGAAUUAUAAAAUCCAAGCAAAACGAUAGUUUCUGAAUUACUGUCUGCCGCUCACACAAAAAAGAACUGCACAGUUUGCAUUGAUUUCUAUGUGAAAGAUUCUGUUUUCUUGAAGUCAGAAGGGAAGAUGGUGUUGAUGUAGCUCAACGUACACUGAAGGAAUAUUCAAUUGAAAUACUCACCAUGAAACUCUUUAACGUUGCCGACCUUUUAUUGAACUGUUUUGGCAUGAUUGCAUGCCCGGCCUUUAUGUAGUGUGCACAGUAGCCUUUCUAGCGAUACUAAUGAAAGCAUAUAUACCUUUAAAAAAUACGGAAGGAAUGUAUAUUUAAUAAAUACCCUUGUCAAUGCACACUACUGAAUUAUAUAAGCGCUAUGUUUUUACUAUUAAUAAAAAAAAUAACAAUUUA